UACGUAGGGCGCAAGCGUUAUCCGGAAUUAUUGGGCGUAAAGGGCGCGUAGGCGGCCUGGCAAGUGACGGGUGAAAGCCCUCGGCUCAACCGAGGAACUGCCUGUCAUACUGCCGGGCUUGAGUCCGGGAGAGGUGAGUGGAAUUCCCAGUGUAGCGGUGAAAUGCGUAGAUAUUGGGAGGAACACCAGUGGCGAAGGCGGCUCACUGGACCGGAACUGACGCUGAGGCGCGAAAGCGUGGGGAGCAAACAGG
rnacentral:rRNA from 1 species